UCCUGUUUCUGAGGCUGCCCUGCCAGUGAGCGUCUGCAGCGCACAAGGUGCUGGGAGGAGCACAGCCAGGACAGCUGAGCCCAGGGUAUCCCUUACUCUCUGACAUCAUGUUUCUCAGGCGGAGCCUGUCCAGAUCGGCUGUGCAGCAAGACAAACACCUGGAGAGCACACAGCAGCCUGUCCUUCCUCAGUUCUCUUAAACAAAGGCUUUCCUGUGUAGUAGGAGGAGUUCCCUGCAAGCAUCAAUGCUUUUCUCCUUAACAUCUCCUUUGACGCAUCAACAAAAACCUUGAAGUUUGC